rnacentral:sRNA from 1 species
GCGCCCGUCGUUGGGGAGUAGCCGAUUUCCUGUUUGCCAGGAAAUGUACGUGUCAACAUACUCGUUGCAAAACGUGGCACGUACGGGUUGAAGUGAUUCAAUCAGGCGAGACCAUAGAUACAUCA